rnacentral:rRNA from 1 species
CCUACGGGUGGCAGCAGUGAGGAAUAUUGGUCAAUGGGCGCGAGCCUGAACCAGCCAAGUCGCGUGAGGGAAGACGGUCCUAUGGAUUGUAAACCUCUUUUGUCGGGGAGCAAAAGACGCCACGCGUGGCGUUCCGAGAGUACCCGAAGAAAAAGCAUCGGCUAACUCCGUGCCAGCAGCCGCGGUAAUACGGGGGAUGCGAGCGUUAUCCGGAUUUAUUGGGUUUAAAGGGUGCGCAGGCGGCGUGUCAAGUCAGCGGUAAAAUGUCGGGGCUCAACCCCGGCCGGCCGUUGAAACUGGCGGGCUCGAGUUGGAGAGAAGUAUGCGGAAUUCGUGGUGUAGCGGUGAAAUGCAUAGAUAGCACGAAGAGCCCCGAUUGCGAAGGCAGCAUACCGGCUCCACACUGACGCUGAGGCACGAAAGCGUGGGUAUCGAACAGGAUUAGAUACCCGAGUAGUC